GUAAUUGAUGAUGACGAGAUGAUCACAUAUUCUGACCGGUUUAGAUCAUGAUUACAACCCUGUAGUUUCAUUCAUUAUGGGUUAAUAUGAUCCUAUGAUAUUGAGUGAUUUGUAUGUUCAAUUGAUGGCCUAUGAUG
rnacentral:snoRNA from 1 species